AAUAGAUACCCGGGUAGUCCAUGCCGUAAACGAUGUCUACUAGCCGUUGGGGCCUUUGAGGCUUUAGUGGCGCAGCUAACGCGAUAAGUAGACCGCCUGGGGAGUACGGUCGCAAGACUAAAACUCAAAUGAAUUGACGGGGGCCCGCACAAGCGGUGGAGCAUGUGGUUUAAUUCGAUGCAACGCGAAGAACCUUACCUGGCCUUGACAUACUAGAAACUUUCCAGAGAUGGAUUGGUGCCUUCGGGAAUCUAGAUACAGGUGCUGCAUGGCUGUCGUCAGCUCGUGUCGUGAGAUGUUGGGUUAAGUCCCGCAACGAGCGCAACCCUUUUCCUUAUUUGCCAGCGAGUAAUGUCGGGAACUUUAAGGAUACUGCCAGUGACAAACUGGAGGAAGGCGGGGACGACGUCAAGUCAUCAUGGCCCUUACGGCCAGGGCUACACACGUGCUACAAUGGUCGGUACAAAGGGUUGCUACCUAGCGAUAGGAUGCUAAUCUCAAAAAGCCGAUCGUAGUCCGGAUUGGAGUCUGC
rnacentral:rRNA from 1 species